rnacentral:rRNA from 1 species
AGUGAACGCUGGCGGUAGGCCUAACACAUGCAAGUCGAACGGCAGCACAGUAGGAGCUUGCUCUUACGGGUGGCGAGUGGCGGACGGGUGAGGAAUACAUCGGAAUCUACUUUUUCGUGGGGGAUAACGUAGGGAAACUUACGCUAAUACCGCAUACGACCUACGGGUGAAAGCAGGGGAUCUUCGGACCUUGCGCGAUUGAAUGAGCCGAUGUCGGAUUAGCUAGUUGGCGGGGUAAAGGCCCACCAAGGCGACGAUCCGUAGCUGGUCUGAGAGGAUGAUCAGCCACACUGGAACUGAGACACGGUCCAGGCUCCUACGGGAGGCAGCAGUGGGGAAUAUUGGACAAUGGGCGCAAGCCUGAUCCAGCCAUACCGCGUGGGUGAAGAAGGCCUUCGGGUUGUAAAGCCCUUUUGUUGGGAAAGAAAAGCAGCAGGUUAAUACCCCGCUGUUCUGACGGUACCCAAAGAAUAAGCACCGGCUAACUUCGUG